rnacentral:rRNA from 1 species
AAAGGAAUAGACGGGGGCCCGCACAAGCAGCGGAGCGUGUGGUUUAAUUCGAUGCAACACGAAGAACCUUACCAAGACUUGACAUGUUGGAAGUAGCGAACCGAAAGGUAAGCGACCUGUUAAAUCAGGAGCCAUCACAGGUGCUGCAUGGCUGUCGUCAGCUCGUGCCGUGAGGUGUUCGGUUAAGUCCUGCAACGAGCGCAACCCUCAUUGCUAGUUAUUUUCUCUAGCGAGACUGCCCCGCAAAACGGGGAGGAAGGUGGGGAUGACGUCAAGUCAGCAUGGCCCUUAUGUCUUGGGCUACACACACGCUACAAUGGGUGGUACAGCAGGUUGCGACAGAGCGAUCUGUAGCUAAUCCUCAAAACCAUCCUCAGUUCGGAUUGCAGGCUGAAAUUCGCCUGCAUGAAGUCGGAGUUGCUAGUAAACGCGUAUCAGCAUGGCGCGUUGAAUACGUUCUCGGGCCUUGUACACACCGCCCGU